UAGAGGAGACCAGAAAAUGCCCAAGAAGAGGCCCGGUGCAUAGAGGGACCUCCACAAAUGUCCCUUGCCUAUCUUCUAAGAACAGCACAGCACUGGCCUCUUGGGAAGAAGGGAAUAUUGCAGAGUCAUCCUGUGUCAACAUGAACCCAGGGCACCCUACCCUUGACUCCACCCUUAUCUAAUACCCAGACUGGCAACCAACCCUGCCCUCGGCCCAGCCCUGGCCUUGGGACUGGCUUCCAGCCAGGUUGAUUGGGAGCUGGGUACAUAGCUACCUUCACCUUUGCCCAAGUUCAGAGCAAACCUGCGAUGGUUGGCGGGCCUUGGCAUAGGGCACAGUUGGCAGGGAGAAUGCCCACUCAGAAGUCUGGAAUGGGAUCAGCACCUCACUUUUCAGACUUAGUCUGACUUCCACCAACAGAGAGCUUACAAGUCACCCCAAGUCUUGGGGAGCUACGGGGCAUGGGGUGGGGAGAGCCAGCAGUCAAAUCCCAGCUGCGCCAUGGAUGGGCUGUGUGGGCUGUGUGAUGCUGGACCCUCCUUCAAGCGGAGACUAGUCAGGCCCAGACACGCGGAGGCUUCUGUGACUGGAAGGUCAUUUCCACCCAUGGAGCUCCCAAGGCCCUCCAUAAUGGCAUCUAUUGUGAUCCGUUCCCGACUAACUGCUCAGAACCGUUGCGGAGUCAAAUUCCUGGAGAGUCAGGAAGUGUGGCUGUGGGUAGGAGAGCUGUCUGGCACAUCCUUCCCACAGCAUCCCUCCUGCGGAUCUUGGCAGCCUGUGAGGCUAGAAGAAGAAUGAUUGUGUAGCAAGAACUUGGUGUUGAUCACCGUUCCGUCUCCUGCGCCCUGAGAAGUCGCCUGGUGCCGAGUCCUUGUUUGACAUGGGUCCUGGACUGCUGUCUGACCGUCUAGAGGAAAGAGACGCAGACGGUGACUGUUGCCGUGGCCUAUUGUUCCCUGACAGAGGGGAAGAGACACUAGGCUGGGAACAUGAGAGCCAGCAGCAGCUGACGGCUUAAGGCUUUGGAACACAGGGUGAGAAGCAAAGAACACUGUUGAGAAGUCAAAGUGAGUCUUCUCUGUGAGACACCAGAUUCCAGAUGUACAGACAUGAGGCUGGGGCAAACCCUCUGAGCAACACAUAUGAAGUAACUGCGCAUGAGUCAAACCCUGUCUUGGUUGGAUCUGGAAGGUGAGUGUGGUUCUGAAUGGUGUCCCUCCCCCUCCACAAGGCCCCUCCUAGAUCUGCGGCUGCUCAUAUGAGUCCACCCUGCACCUCAGAUCAUUUAGGAAAGCAGACAGUGAUGCAAGCGGGAGGGUCUCGGAAGGGAUGAGGUCACUGUGGCUGGCUGCCCAAAAAUGUGGUGAUGGAGGAUACCGUUGGAUCAGGCCCACUUCUAGGCAGCCCCAGCUUCCAUCCUGCAAGGCAGUGAUAACAAUAGUACCUACUUUUAGAGGGUUGUUAAUGAGGAGAGUAAAAUAGGGGCUAACAGGAAGCAUGUUUGUAACGCACAUGGCACUGAGCCUAAAGUACUCAGCACUGGGAAAGAAUGGCGUCGAGAGUGUCAUGAUGGUGGCAGUAAUGGCAAAGAGAGGGAGAGGGAUGAUGUCACCAUGAUGGUGUCACCCCUGUGCUCCCUCCCGGGUGCCUUUAUCCAAGACGUCCCAUCCUAGUACAAACAUGUCCAGAGAAACCAAGUAGCCAGGGCCUGGCCUCUGAAUUAGGAAGAGGCGAAAUGCUGGCCCUCAAGGACAGUGAGCCUUCAGUGGCUGUGUUCUGGGCAGGUGGCAGCACCAGCUUUGAAAGAAUCACCAGAAGUCUUCCCAGGGGAGGCAGCGCUUAGCAGCAGUAUUGAUGGAGGAGUAAGAAUUAGCUGAGAGAGUAAAACGAGAUUUCUCUUUUCCCUCUAAAGGCAUUCCUGGCAGACGAAAUGACAGGAGCAAAAGCAGAGAGGUGUGAAGCAGCCUGUGGAGAUUGGGAAGCCGUGAGAGGCACAGUCUGGCUAGUUGGGAGUAAAUGGCAGCAGGCAGAUGAGGGAGGGGUGUCUGGGGCAGAUCUCUCAGAACCUGGGGUACUAACUCAUUUACAACCUAAUUGUACGUUAUGCCAUAGACAUUCCAAACAUCUACGCAGUCCUAAGUGCUUUUGUGUUGGACACUAUGGGUGCAGCCAGGAUACCCCUGUACGGACCGUCAGGCUGGAUCACUCCUUCCUCAGUUGCUGAGAUUUCCAGGGGCAGAGUUUGAGCUUAACAUUCCUCCCUGCCAUUGCCUCCGAAUCUAGUGUUUUGCCCCUUCCUGCAUCAGCAAAAAUCCUGUGUCAAAUCCUGGCACAGAUGCACACCGUGUGAAAUCCCAGCACGGAAGAGGUGAAGGCAAGAGGCUGGAACUUACUGGCUAGUCAGCCCAUCCAAACUAAUGAGCUCCAUGUCUGGUGAAACACCAGGUCUCCCAAAAUAAAGUGGAGGGCUGGUGAGAUGGUUUAUUAGUGAGUUGGCGCUUGCCACCAAGCCUGACAACCUGAAAUCAAUCCUUAGGACCGGUGUGGUGAAAAGAGAGAAACGAAACCCACAAAUUGUCCUCUGACGUCUACAUGAGAGACGUGAGGGUGUCUCACAUAAGGGUGAGAGCUCAUGAGCAAACACACACACACAACUAAAUAAAAAAUUUAAGUGGGGAACAAUUGAAGAAGACACCCAAUGUUGACCUCUGAUCACAAAGGCACAUGCAUUUGUACCUACACACUCUCAUGAACACACCCACAGGAACACAUAUGUCUACACACACACACACACACACACACACACACACACACACACACAGCCAUUCCAGCUCCACAUCCCUGGGGGGAGCAGAAACAGGCCUUUGAGGGGUUAACCUGGAAAUCCAGUUUGUCCCUUUGCCCAGUCCUGCUCCAGUCCCUCCCCACAGAUGCAGACCUUGAGAGAACUUCCCUCAAAGAAAUUCUGCCAGCAACUCUUCCUCUUGGCUUCCUUCCCCAGAAUCCCUACCUGCAAUAACCAUCAUGCAAGGGUGUUCAUGCUGGGUGACAUAUCAUUGAGGGCUGAUGAGGGACCCUGCUUUUUGAAGGCAUCUCUGUCGAGAGUAAGGGAAUGAACCGGAAGGACACAUUGGAAUCGGCAGUCAGAGUAGACGUGAUUGUUGCAAUUUAGCAGAGAAAUGGCGUGGGCAUGAGGUGGUGCAGGCAAGAUGGAGGGAUAGAUCUGGGCAGGGGUUGUUGCUUAAAGAACAGGGGAGAGUCUGAGGAUGGAAAGGACCUGGGGGCUUUGGAACAUCAUGGCAGAGAUGGAGCCAGGAAAGAUUUAAUGAGAGACUCAGCUCAGUGAGCAAGGUGGCUGCCAGGCAUCUGGGAGCAAGGGCCCUGGAGGUGUUUAGGAGGUGGUGUGACCUGGAGGUGUAGAGCCGGGAUAGAAACAGCUGGUGGUUUAUGGAGCAGCCAUUCACCCACUGAGUUUAUUAGCAAUCAGGAAGUCAGGGUCCUGGAGAGGAGGGGAGGCUGGAUGUUAACCCUUUGGUUGCCGAACCUUGCUGGGUUGGGGGAAGAGGCAUGUGCAGCCUGUGGAGCCUCUGCUUACAAAGCAGCCAGCUAGCAUCCUUGCCUGCCAACUUACUGCAAGCCCUGCUGCUCUCUCUGAAACCCUCCCAAGGACCUGCUAGACAGACUCCUCAAAUCCCUUGUCUUAAAGAAGAAGCUACGGCUCAGUGAGGCUCCUGCCUUGUGGGAACCAGGCAGGAGCCAAGAGCAGAGCUGGAGUUGAUCCAAGCUCAUCUGACACAUGCCUGUAAUUGUUGGAGGGGAAAUCGGGCCCUAGAAUUUUUGGCUCUUUAAUCGGAGUCCUUUCCCCUUGUACAAAUGGUCACUUCCUAUGGUGAAUUCCAGAACUUUUGAUCUUGAGCCAACUUCUCCUUCCAAGAAACAGAGCUGAGAAUGACCAGUUUAUGGGGACUUGGGGUGGAGUGGGAUUAUCUUAGCGGAAUUUCCAGGCCUGGGAAUCCCCCAGCUGUGAGGUGGAGCCCUGACAUAUAUGGGAAGGCCUCUGUGGCUGUGGCAGCAGUAGUCUCCCUGUGGAUGGCACCUCUGCAUUGUCAGGAGUGGGGCUCCCAAACCUGCCUCAGCUCAGGCCCUCCACCUCCAUCCUGCGCCCUGUGGGGAAACUGGCUCUCUUCAAGCACCGUUUCCUAAAAGCUUUUCUGUACAGCCUGGCCGUUUUGUUGAACUGUGGAUGACUGUAGUCUCCCUUCUCCAUGGUUUUAUGUUCCAUGGCUCCAAUGACCUGCUCUCCACCAUGAUCCAAAUAUAUUAAAUGGAAGCAAAGUAUGGCGGCACACUCCCAUAAUCUCAACACUGGGAAGGCAAUGGCAGGAAUGGAUUGUGAGUUCAAGGCCAGUCUGAACUGCAUGGUGAGACCUUGUCUCAAAACAAAACAAACAAACAAACAAAAAAAAAAAAAAAACCAAAAAAAAACCCACAAAGCAAAUAAUUUUAAGAGGAAAAAUUUCAGAAAUAAUUUAUAAAGUUCAGAUUACAUGCAGCUGUAAGUAGCUUGAUGAUAGCACCCUGGUGCUGUCUUUCUGGGUCUCACCCAGAAAGUGAGGCACCCUUUUGCACAUCAUACACUGUGCGUGUACAUCCUCAAGCAGACACCGUAGCUAGUAGACCCCCUGUGGAAGAGUCGGACAAGCACCACAGAGCGUGGCAGUAAGCCCUGGCCGUCCCCUGUCAGGCUGUCCACCGUUUGUUCUCCUCAUCCUGGAGCGGUCCCAGCCUCGCUUGCUCAUUCACAGGUCCAGAGUCAGCCACGGCAGAAAAAUGGCUGAAUUCAAGCCCUCACUUCAGAGAUAUGGACAUAGUGAGGCUCAGAGAGGACAGGGACCUGCCCAAGGCCACCCAGUGCUCUGGCGUACAGUAUGUUCCAGCCUGAAUGUCCCAACCAGCAGCCCAGUGCCUUUCCAUGUCUCAAAUCAAUGUCAGAAGUGGCAUCAGGCCAGGGGAUUGAGCAAAUCUGGAAACUGACGAGUUCAAGGUCUGGCUCCACCCUGGACUUGCUAGGAGCCUUUGGCAACUCACCAGCUGCACAGCUUCAAUUUCCUUGGUUUUGAAAUCAAAAUAAUGACUCCUUCCUUACCAAGUUCUUGUGAGGACGUAGCGAGAACAGCAUUGCGGGGGGGCGCACAGAGGGCCUGAGUUGUUUCAGUUCACUUCAGUUGUUUCAGUUUCAGUUAAUAUUAAAGGUGUUUCCUUUAAUAUUAACACGGGCACCACCAGCUGUGUGCGCUCGGACACACGGCUUACUCAGGUCUCAUCCAGAGCCAUGGCAGCUGCAUGAGCAGCACCCAUGGGCACACAGUGACUGCUCACUAACGCUCGGUGUCUCCAACUCUGCAUGCAACCGCUUCUGCUUUCACAGGCGGCUGCAGGGGAGCUGCCCCUUAUCUGAAGACCAUAGCCCAGUAGACAAGAAGAGGCAAAAUUGUGAUUGAGAGAUAGGAAAAUAAGGCGGAGCUAGCUUUUAAGAUCAUCUUCUCAUGGAACUUUGAAACAAAGCAGCAUGUGUUUUAAAACCUGGCAUAGCUCGAACCUCCCUGGUCACACCCAAGACUUUUGUAGGAGCCAGAACCUGCAGGUGGGCCUCCCUCCUCUAGUCUUUCCAGCCAACACUGUCCCAGAUCCUGAGCAGAACUCAGUAUGAAGACUAUUCCUGUGUGGUCGUGGCUACAGCUGAGCAAAUGCCAGAAAUGCUCUUUUGGUAGCUAGAUUCCAUCUGGAGUCGUGGGAACAGGAUAGUCUGGAUCUGGGAAGAUUCUGGUGCCUCAGAGUUCAGUCUUCAUUUAUCUCCGUUCUAUUUCAUGAAUGUCAAGAGGCUGAUGGUGUCCAGGAACGGGACACAGCCCCAGCCUGAUGCCCCAGCAACAUCCACUCUCAUUCCAGUCAAGGGCAUUCCUUCUUUGGUUUUUGUUUGUUUGCUUGGUUGGUUGGUUUUGGUUUUUCCAAGACAGGUUUCUCUGUGUAGCUUUGGCUGUCCUCGAACUAGCUCUGUAGCCCAGGCUGGCCUUAAACUCACAGAGUUUAAGAGUUUCUGCCUGCUUCCACCUCUCUAGAGCUGGAUUAAAGGUGUACACCAGGCUUAGGCCUUCCCUCUUUUGUCCUCCAGUCACACAGCCUGACAGCAUUUCAGAUGGUUUGCACGAGAAUGCUCCCAUAGACUCAUGUACUUGACUCCUUCAUCUCCAGUUGGUAGAACUGUUUGGGAAGGAUUAGGAGGUGUCACCUGGUUGGAGGAAGUGUGUCAUUGUGGUAGGCUUUCAUGUUCCAAAGUCCAUGCCCUUUUCAGUUUCAUGGAACAUAAAACCAUGGAGAAGGGAGACUACAGUCAUCCACAGUUCAACAAAAUGGCCAGGCUGUACAGAAAAGCUUUUGGAAAAAGGGCAUGGACUUUGGAACGAACAUGAAAGCCUGAAAAGGGUUAGUUAGUUCUCUCUCUGUCUCUGUCUCUGUCUCUCUCUGCCUUAUGGUUGUUGCCUCAAGAUAGGAGCUCUUAGCUACUAUUCUAGUGCCAUACCUGCCCGUUGCCAUGCUCCACACCAUGAUAGUCAUGAACUCUGAUCCUCUAAAACUGUAAGCAAGCCCCCAAUAACUCUUCUGUAAGUUGCCUUAGUCAUGGGGUUUUGUCACAAUAAUUGAAAAGUAACUAAGACAGCAUCUCUGUGUUUCCCCAUGGAUGUGCUUGCUCAGAGGCAGCUCAGAAAUGAGCAUGACAGGUCCCAUCUGUUGCCCCCUCUAUCUCACUGCACUGCCACUGCCCAUUUUGCACCAAAGUCCUGCGCCAACUUGGACCCAGGGAAGACUGGACCCAGGUGGAAUGGGAAGUACUCUCAAUACAACAGUUCUGUCUUACCCUCAGGGGUGCAUUCUUAGACUCCCAGGGGGUCACAAAAUAACCUCGAAUAGUGCAGCAUACUAUAUACAGGCUCAAGGACAGAGGAGGACUGGGACCAAUGCAGGGCCUGGCUUGGCCUCCUUGUUCAUGAACAUUUAGGCAGCUGAGGACUGCAUGGGGAGACACUCACCAUGCAUGGGAGAGCAGGAUGCUCUCAGCUCUUGCUGCUCGCUGAAGCACUGUGAGCAAGCGAGUCCUAUUUUAAUUCUCAUUUUUACACCCAAGGAAGGAGGCCUUAGAGACACCAGCAGGCUUUUCCAAGUGUGUACCUGAAACAGGUGGUAGAGCUAGGAAUCAAAUCCAGACAACAAAGCUUGUUCUCCUGCCCCUCACCGGCCGCAGUACUCAGGAGAGUGGGCCCAGCACCUUGCCUGGGCAGCACAGUAGAGCUGGCCCUGGUGACUGAGGUGUGGCCCUGAGCAAGGGAGCGCAAAAGAGCUGGCCUGCCCAUCAUCUGCCUUGGGGUGGCACGGGCAAGGAAGAGAUGCCCUCCCGGGAGGGAUGCCCUCCCUGCCUCGCCCCUUGCUGUCUACAGCAGGCCAGAGAGCUGGCCCUGAGGUCAUGAGAUGGGAGAGCAGGUUCCGCACCUCACCGGGCAGCACAGCAGAGCUGGCCCUGGUGGCAAAGGUGUAGGUGAGCUGGCCUGAGGACAUGCGAGCAGGAGAGCUGACCCUACCCCUUGCUGGCUGUAGCACUGGGUGAGCUAGGCAAGGCAGUGCUGGAGAGCUCACCCUGGUGGUUGCAGGCACCGGAGAGCUGGCGGGCUGACCAUCUACUACCUCUUAGGCCCAGAUCCAGACGCUUCAGUUGGCCCACCCCAGCAUCUACACCGCCUGUGAGCUGCUGGAGUGCGUGAAGGAACUUGUCCUGCAGAUCGAAAGUUGUAGGAUCUCCAUGACACAGGACUCCAUAGGAGACCGGAGAAGGGUCCCCGUGAGGGUCGAGUAUUGACAGAGCAGCAGAAGCCAGGACCCUCGGGACAGAGCAAUGGCUCAUUUGCAAGUAAAGAUAUGUAGACAAACGAUCUACCGUGUGACACAC